GCACAAGCGGUGGAUGAUGUGGUUUAAUUCGAUGCAACGCGAAAACCUUACCCACCUUUGACAUGUACGGAAUCCUCUAGAGAUAGAGGAGUGCUCGAAAGAGAGCCGUAACACAGGUGCUGCAUGGCUGUCGUCAGCUCGUGUCGUGAGAUGUUGGGUUAAGUCCCGCAACGAGCGCAACCCUUGUCAUUAGUUGCUACGAAAGGGCACUCUAAUGAGACUGCCGGUGACAAACCGGAGGAAGGUGGGGAUGACGUCAAGUCCUCAUGGCCUUUAUGACCAGGGCUACACACGUACUACAAUGGCCGGUACAAAGGGCAGCGACACAGCGAUGUGAAGCGAAUCCCGAAAAGCCGGUCUCAGUCCGGAUUGGAGUCUGCAACUCGACUCCAUGAAGUUGGAAUCGCUAGUAAUCGCGGAUCAGCACGCCGCGGUGAAUACGUUCCCGGGCCUU
rnacentral:rRNA from 1 species